UAGAACAGGACAGCAGCCCGCGUGGCAUGGAUGAGCGACGGGGAACCCCGCCACUCCCUUUGUUAAGAGAGUCAUUACCCAAUUUGACGUUUCCAUCUGCUUCCGCAACUCACUGGCAGACACAACAAAGCCACGUAGAAAUGACCAUCUUUUCAUGUGGCAUUCAACACAGAAAUAACACCAAACUUUUUUGUAUGCCGGCUUUUCCAACUGCGGUGACACAUGAUACAGAUCAGACCAAACGAAUGCUUUAAAUCGCCUUGAGUAAAGUGUGAGCAACCGCUGAGCGCGCAGAUCCGGACCGCGACUCGCUUCGGGGACGUUGCUUGGGUCUCUUCCCGACCCGCGGUGCUCACACCCCCUUCCCACCAAACGAGCACUUCAACCUGAUGCCCCCGCGCCCUCGACUCACCUGCUUGAAGCAGAAAGGCAUGGUGAGCACGCUGACGCCCACGAUGCUGUUCACCACGUUCGUGAUCAGCCCCCACUUGGAGGUGGAGGCGGCCGUCAUUUUGAGGGUCUAGGGACCAGGACAGAGCGACCCUAGAUAACCCUAAACCUGAAGCAGGGGGGGCCGCGGACAGGCGUCGCGAGGUCAGCCUCCAGACCCUGCCAGGCUCCGCAGCAGCCUCAUAGCCAUGGUUCCAGGUUCCCGCCUCCGCCUCCCCAGAGUGAAGCGGGAACCCGGAAGCGCCGCAGGCAACGCUAGCAACACCUCAGCUCCGCUUCGCUGCCUCCGGCACCCAAACUUCCGCCUUCGGAGCCUACUCUACCAGGAAGUGACGGUAUCAAAGGGCGGGAUGAGGCGGGACGCCAGCCAACUAGAAGUAGAUAAAAAUCAUCGGGACACCGGGAGGUUCAGAGACUCAGCAAAGUCACAACAGCCUGGAGGAGGGAGCAUGGAGAUGUGUCUGUUUGAUACGCUAAGUGGGUGAAAAUGGUCUACUGCCCUAAUAUGAAAGAAAACCAGAGGAAAGGUAAAAAGGAGAGACUAGGGAAAUCUAGGAUUUCAAGAGAUGGUGGCUUCUGUACUGGAAGGACUAAUGAGAAUUCUUCCUGGAGUAAUGGACAUUAAAGAGACUAGAGAAAAGAGAACGCUCCAACACCUAAGUGGAUUACUGGCACCUGGCAGUGUUCUUUAUGGUGGUGUCUGUGGUGAAUGAAGGCCUAGGGACCUGAGGUCCAAGAAAGACCCCACAAUGAUUCCAGGAGGCCAGAGCUGUGCAUGCAAGGAGGAACUUCAAGCUGCCUAAAGAGGCUCUCCUAGAAAACAAUUUGAGGCCCAUGCAAGAUCUCAGACAAGGGACAAAUUCUUCCAGCAUCAGGCAGAGCAGCUUCUAGAGAUGAGAGAGAGAGAGAGAGAGAGAGAGAGAGAGAGAGAGAGAGAGAGAGAGAGAGAAAGGAAAAGCUAGAAAGAGCAAUUGGUGGCAUGAGCCAUUAAUCCCAGCGUUCAGGAGGCAGAGACAAGCAGCUCUCUUGAGUUUGAGGACAGCCUGGUCUACAUAAGUGAGUUCCAGGACAGCCAUGGCUACGUGGAGAAACCCUGUCUCGAACAAAAAAAAAAAAAAAGGAGUAAUUGAAUACAAAGCCAGAAUAGGGUUGGAGAGAUGGCUCAGUGGUUAAGAGCACUGACUGCUCUUCCAGAAGUCCUGAGUUCAGUUCCCAGCAACCACAUCAUAAUGGGAUCCAAUGCCCUCUUCUGGUGUGUCUGAAGACAGCAACUGUGUACUCAUAUACAUUAAAUAAAUAAAUCUUUAAAAAGAAAAAACCAAAA